GGGGAAUAUUGGGCAAUGGGCGCAAGCCUGACCCAGCAACGCCGCGUGAGGGAAGAAGGUUUUCGGAUUGUAAACCUCUGUCGCAGGGGACGAAGGAAGUGACGGUACCCUGUCAGAAAGCCCCGGCUAACUACGUGCCAGCAGCCGCGGUAAUACGUAGGGGGCGAGCGUUGUCCGGAAUUACUGGGCGUAAAGGGAGCGUAGGCGGUCGAUUAAGUUAGAUGUGAAACCCCCGGGCUUAACUUGGGGACUGCAUCUAAUACUGGUUGACUUAGAGUACAGGAGAGGGAAGCGGAAUUCCUAGUGUAGCGGUGAAAUGCGUAGAUAUUAGGAGGAACACCAGUGGCGAAGGCGGCUUUCUGGACUGACACUGACGCUGAGGCUCGAAAGCGUGGGGAGCAAAC
rnacentral:rRNA from 1 species